rnacentral:pre_miRNA from 1 species
ACAGGAAUCCCCUGGGGAUCUUGUUAAAAUGAAGAUUCUGAUUCAGAAAGUAGAUUCUGCAGCCCUGAGGAGCUUCCAGGUGAUACAGAC